rnacentral:rRNA from 1 species
GAUGAACGCUGGCGGCGUGCUUAACACAUGCAAGUCGAACGGAAAGGCCCAAGCUUGCUUGGGUACUCGAGUGGCGAACGGGUGAGUAACACGUGGGUGAUCUGCCCUGCACUUCGGGAUAAGCCUGGGAAACUGGGUCUAAUACCGGAUAGGACGAUGGUUUGGAUGCCAUUGUGGAAAGUUUUUUCGGUGUGGGAUGAGCUCGCGGCCUAUCAGCUUGUUGGUGGGGUAAUGGCCUACCAAGGCGUCGACGGGUAGCCGGCCUGAGAGGGUGUACGGCCACAUUGGGACUGAGAUACGGCCCAGACUCCUACGGGAGGCAGCAAUGGGGAAGAUUGCACAAUGGGCGCAAGCCUGAUGCAGCGACGCCGCGUGGGGGAUGACGGCCUUCGGGUUGUAAACUCCUUUCGCUAGGGACGAAGCGUUUUUGUGACGGUACCUGGAGAAGAAGCACCGGCUAACUACGUG